GGGAGUGGUUGUGGCUUAGAGGUAUAGCAUCUGCUUGACAUGCAGAACGUCCCAGGUUCAAUUCCUGCUAUCUCUCUCA
rnacentral:tRNA from 1 species